GUGCCAGCCGCCGCGGUAAUACGAAGGGUGCGAGCGUUAUUCGGAAUUAUUGGGCGUAAAGGGUUCGUAGGCGGGAUUGUAAGUCAAGUGUGAAAUCCCCGAGCUUAACUCGGGACGUGCAUUUGAAACUGUGAUUCUUGAGUCAUUGAGAGGGUGGUGGAAUUGUUGGUGUAGGAGUGACAUCCGUAGAGAUCAACAGGAACAUCAGAGGCGAAAGCGGCCACCUGGCAAUGUACUGACGCUGAGGAACGAAAGCGUGGGGAGCAAACAGGAUUAGAAACCCCGGUAGUCC
rnacentral:rRNA from 1 species